ACAGCAGUAGCCGCGGGAACACAGAGGGUGCGAGCGUUAAUCGGAUUUACUGGGCGUAAAGCGUGCGUAGGCGGCUUCUUAAGUCGGAUGUGAAAUCCCUGAGCUUAACUUAGGAAUUGCAUUCGAUACUGGGAAGCUAGAGUAUGGGAGAGGAUGGUAGAAUUCCAGGUGUAGCGGUGAAAUGCGUAGAGAUCUGGAGGAAUACCGAUGGCGAAGGCAGCCAUCUGGCCUAAUACUGACGCUGAGGUACGAAAGCAUGGGGAGCAAACAGGAUUAGAUACCCCGGUAGUCCCUGUCUCUUAUAC
rnacentral:rRNA from 1 species